UACGGAGGGUGCGAGCGUUGUCCGGAAUCACUGGGCGUAAAGGGCGCGUAGGUGGCGGAGCAAGUCAACGGUGAAAGCUCGACGCUCAACGUCGAGUCGGCCGUCGAGACUGCUUUGCUCGAGCACUGUAGAGGCAGAUGGAAUUCCGGGUGUAGCGGUGGAAUGCGUAGAGAUCCGGAAGAACACCGGUGGCGAAGGCGGUCUGACUGGGCAGUUGCUGGACGCUCAGGCACGAAAGCAUGGGGAG
rnacentral:rRNA from 1 species